rnacentral:rRNA from 1 species
GACGAACCGUGCAAACGUUGUUCGGAAUCACUGGGCUUAAAGGGCGCGUAGGCGGGUCUCCAAGUCGGUGGUGAAAUCUUUCAGCUCAACUGGAAAAGUGCCGCCGAUACUGGGGAUCUCGAGGGAGGUAGGGGUCGAUGGGACUAAUGGUGGAGCGGUGAAAUGCGUAGAUAUCAUUAGGAACGCCGGUGGCGAAGGCGGGUCUCUGGGCCGAUACUGACGCUGAGGAGCGAAAGCGUGGGGAGCGAACAGG